CUUCGAUUUCGAGGUGGCUAAGGCUUCCUCUCAUGUGCUUCAAGAGGAAGUAGCCGUUAACUGUGGAGAGGAGACCGACGGGAACAGGGGAGGGGGAGAGCGGUAGUAACCGGAGGACUAGGCUCGCGGCAGGAGAAAACUCACCAACAAACAGAAGCCUAGUUCCUGAGCCUGCCUCCUGCCCCAUCCGCUGGUUUGGCCUUGCUGACUCACAUGCAGCUGGAAAGGAUGGCUUCUGAGAACAGCUCCCAAACUUUCUGGACGACUGAAGGAGGGGUUUGCCAGAGAUUAACUGGGAUGCUGGGUUUUGGGUCACCUUGCAAAGGCAACAACUAAAAACCACAUUUAAACAGCAAGAUUAAACCCACAUUCAGAAUGCCAGGAAGAAAAAUCUUACUCAGGGAUAAAUGCCAAAAUGUUCCAACAAAAAUAACGUUGGCCAGCAAACUGCUGUUCUGUGGGACCAAACACUUCUGGAGGAAGUCCCUGACUCUUAUAAAGGAAAUAUAAAUUGACGCUUUUCAUUUUCCUGAAAAUAUAAUAACUCACUCAGCCAUGAAGUGCUCUUACUACCAGGCCUUCUCUAUCCUCAGAUAACAAAUUGGUAAAAAUAGCAUUCUUCAUUACUGAUUGCUUGUCAACGGUUAUUUUCCCUGAAAAAGCAGGUAAGCAUAGCUGGCUGCCAGCUAAGCAGGGACACAAAGAGGCUGGAGAAUGGCUGCAUCAGAAAACCAUAAAUGUUGUUGUUGAGGAGGUUUUCUGGGAGGGGGUAGAUCGCGAAGAGAGAUAGGCCCGAGGUGAAAUCAGGUCAGAAAGGGCAAGUUUCUCUCUUCUCAAAGGCUAAUAGUCCUGCUCAGAGCUUUGCAAGCCUUUCUGAGCCACCACUGCCCUGAGUCACUCUCUGUGGCAGGGAUCACCGCACUGCUUCCAUACCUGUGUCUUUCCCCCUGUGCUCUCCUGGACAGCCGUGCGGGACAGGGCCGUAGUGGCCACAAAACACGAGAAGAAUCCAGAGAAGAUGUUGCUGAUCCCAAAGGCAAUGAAUUCCUAAAAGAGAGACUAGAUGAGAGUGAUGCUCCAAAUACAGUCUUGCCCUUCAAAACCAGUUCAGCCAAAGGGUGACCCUACCUGGUUCCCAUUGAUGGUGUAAUCAUACUUGAUGGCGUACACUUUUCCUACAGACACUGCGAUGGCAUAAGCUACCACAGCGA